AGUGAACGCUGGCGGUAGGCCUAACACAUGCAAGUCGAACGGCCGCACAGUAAGAGCUUGCUCUUACGGGUGGCGAGUGGCGGACGGGUGAGGAAUACAUCGGAAUCUACUUUUUCGUGGGGGAUAACGUAGGGAAACUUACGCUAAUACCGCAUACGACCUACGGGUGAAAUCAGGGGAUCUUCGGACCUUGCGCGAUUGAAUGAGCCGAUGUCGGAUUAGCUAGUUGGCGGGGUAAAGGCCCACCAAGGCGACGAUCCGUAGCUGGUCUGAGAGGAUGAUCAGCCACACUGGAACUGAGACACGGUCCAGACUCCUACGGGAGGCAGCAGUGGGGAAUAUUGGACAAUGGGCGCAAGCCUGAUCCAGCCAUACCGCGUGGGUGAAGAAGGCCUUCGGGUUGUAAAGCCCUUUUGUUGGGAAAGAAAAGCAGCAGGUUAAUACCCCGCUGUUCUGACGGUACCCAAAGAAUAAGCACCGGCUAACUUCGUG
rnacentral:rRNA from 1 species